rnacentral:rRNA from 1 species
AUUGAACGCUGGCGGCAGGCCUAACACAUGCAAGUCGAACGGUAACAGGAAGAAGCUUUCUUCUUUGCUGACGAGUGGCGGACGGGUGAGUAAUGUCUGGGAAACUGCCUGAUGGAGGGGGAUAACUACUGGAAACGGUAGCUAAUACCGCAUAACGUCGCAAGCCCAAAAAGGGGGACCUUCGGGCCUCUUGCCAUCGGAUGUGCCCAGGUGGGAUUAGCUAGUAGGUGGGGUAACGGCUCACCUAGGCGACGAUCCCUAGCUGGUCUGAGAGGAUGACCAGCCACACUGGAACUGAGACACGGUCCAGACUCCUACGGGAGGCAGCAGUGGGGAAUAUUGCACAAUGGGCGCAAGCCUGAUGCAGCCAUGCCGCGUGUAUGAAGAAGGCCUUCGGGUUGUAAAGUACUUUCAGCGGGGAGGAAGGGAGUAAAGUUAAUACCUUUGCUCAUUGACGUUACCCGCAGAAGAAGCACCGGCUAACUCCGUG